UACGUAGGGGGCAAGCGUUGUCCGGAAUCAUUGGGCGUAAAGAGCGUGUAGGCGGUUCGGUAAGUCGGAUGUGAAAGCCCCGGGCUCAACCCGGGAAGUGCACUCGAUACUGCCGAGCUAGAGUAUCGGAGAGGUUGGUGGAAUUCUCGGUGUAGAGGUGAAAUUCGUAGAUAUCGAGAGGAACACCGGUGGCGAAGGCGGCCAACUGGACGAAUACUGACGCUGAGACUCGAAAGCGUGGGGAGCAAACAGG
rnacentral:rRNA from 1 species